rnacentral:rRNA from 1 species
AACCCCUGUGACAUACCAAUUGUUGCCUCGGCGGAUCAGCCCGCUCCCGGUAAAACGGAACGGCCCGCCAGAGGACCCCUAAACUCUGUUUCUAUAUGUAACUUCUGAGUAAAACCAUAAAUAAAUCAAAACUUUCAACAACGGAUCUCUUGGUUCUGGCAUCGAUGAAGAACGCAGCAAAAUGCGAUAAGUAAUGUGAAUUGCAGAAUUCAGUGAAUCAUCGAAUCUUUGAACGCACAUUGCGCCCGCCAGUAUUCUGGCGGGCAUGCCUGUUCGAGCGUCAUUUCAACCCUCAAGCCCCCGGGUUUGGUGUUGGGGAUCGGCGAGCCUCACGGCAAGCCGGCCCCGAAAUACAGUGGCGGUCUCGCUGCAGCUUCCAUUGCGUAGUAGUAAAACCCUCGCAACUGGUACGCGGCGCGGCCAAGCCGUUAAACCCCCAACUUCUGAAUGUUGACCUCGGAUCAGGUAGGAAUACCCGCUGAACUUAAGCAUAUC